CACAUGUUUACACCUCAGGGCCUUGAACUAAAUAUUCUUCGAUUGUGAACAUUUAUCGCAGCUUAAAGUGGACUUACAAGAAAUUUGAAGAAAACGUGGGAUGYAAUUGAUGUUCUAGCAAAUGCCCUGUAUCAUGUUGUAUGGAUGGAAAACAACCACUAAUAAAAGACUGUACAGCUUUACUUCCUUAUCCUGAUUUAAACCUAAGCAAAGAAGGACUGAGGAUUACCACACAUCUGAUGUGACUGAUGUCAGGAUCGGUCAUUUUUUGAUGCAAGCAGAUGUCGAAAACAGGAACUGGGUUCAUCGCAGGGCUUCAAUGAUGACAUCGGGAACUCUUUAAGUYCCACGUUUUUAAAAACRUCAAUUCCAWAGGCAGUUAAAGGCUCUAUUAUAUCUUUCGUCGCGACGUCGAGCUGCAAGAUGCAGAGAAAGCAGAAAGAAAACGUGCCCCUUGGACAGAAAACCGUUAUCACAACAUAGAAGACUGAAAAAUAUCCAACUCAUUUGUUCACGAAAUGUUUGGAUUGAAGAUAAGCUUAGCUGCAAUUUGCCGAAUUAAAUUAGCUGAGGGCACAAAAUAUACCUCACUACUCGACAUCAUCAAAGCUUAUCAGCUAAACCUCUGCCUGGUUAAUUACAUUGUCUKUAAUUUAUUGAUGUCAUGGCAGAAUGUCCGUUUAGACGAUAAAGAUCGUCAUUAAUGUGCUAACCCUUAUAUCGCAACCAUUAUACUUCAAAUAUUCGUUUAWAUUUUAUUUGUGACGUCGCAUAAAUGAAAACAGCCAAUCAUAAGYGAUGUUUGCAUAAGCUCCUUCCUCUUUCACAGAAAACUAAUCAAAURUGAUAAUU